rnacentral:rRNA from 1 species
CCCAGACUCCUACGGGAGGCAGCAGUAGGGAAUUUUGCGCAAUGGGCGAAAGCCUGACGCAGCAACACCGCGUGAAUGUUAAGCCCUUCGGGGUGUAAAGUUCUGUCAAUAGGGACGAAUUUUGACUGUACCUAUAAAGGAGGCACCGGCUAACUCCGUGCCAGCAGCCGCGGUAAUACGGGGGGUGCAAGCGUUAUCCGGAUUUAUUGGGUUUAAAGGGUGCGUAGGCGGGCUGUUAAGUCAGCGGUCAAAUGUCGGGGCUCAACCCCGGCCUGCCGUUGAAACUGGCGGCCUCGAGUGGGCGAGAAGUAUGCGGAAUGCGCGGUGUAGCGGUGAAGUGCAUAGAUAUCGCGCAGAACUCCGAUUGCGAAGGCAGCAUGCCGGCUCCACACUGACGCUGAGGCACGAAAGCGUGGGUAUCGAACAGGAUUAGAUACCCUAGUA